UACGUAGGGUGCAAGCGUUGUCCGGAAUUAUUGGGCGUAAAGGGCUCGUAGGCGGUCCGUCACGUCGGGAGUGAAAACUUGGGGCUUAACCCCAAGCCUGCUUCCGAUACGGGCGGACUAGAGUACGGAAGAGGCGAGUGGAAUUCCUGGUGUAGCGGUGAAAUGCGCAGAUAUCAGGAGGAACACCGAUUGCGAAGGCAGCUCGCUGGGACGUUACUGACGCUGAGACGCGAAAGCGUGGGGAGCAAACAGG
rnacentral:rRNA from 1 species